rnacentral:rRNA from 1 species
AGAGUUUGAUCAUGGCUCAGGAUGAACGCUGGCGGUCUGCUUAACACAUGCAAGUCGAACGAAUCCUUUCGGGGAUUAGUGGCGGACGGGUGAGUAACGCGUGAGAAUCUGCCAAAAGGACUGGGACAACCACUGGAAACGGUGGCUAAUACCAGAUGUGCCGCAACGUAAAAGAGGAAACUCGCCUUUUGAGGAGCUCGCGUCUGAUUAGCUAGUUGGUGAGGUAAAAGCUCACCAAGGCAACGAUCAGUAGCUGGUCUGAGAGGACGACCAGCCACACUGGCACUGAGAUACGGGCCAGACUCCUACGGGAGGCAGCAGUAGGGAAUAUUGGGCAAUGGCGGAAACGCUGACCCAGCCAUGCCGCGUGCAGGAAGAAGGCGCUCAGCGUUGUAAACUGCUUUUGCCGGGGAAGAAUGGCUAGUACGUGUACUAGACGCGACGGUACCUGGUGAAUAAGCACCGGCUAACUCCGUGCCAGCAGCCGCGGUAAUACGGAGGAUGCAAGCGUUAUCCGGAAUUAUUGGGCGUAAAGCGUCCGCAGGUGGCACUUCAAGUCUGCUGUCAAAGACCGGGGCUUAACCCUGGAAAGGCAGUGGAAACUGAAGCGCUAGAGUGUGGCAGGGGUAGAGGGAAUUCCCGGUGUAGCGGUGAAAUGCGUAGAGAUCGGGAAGAACAUCGGUGGCGAAAGCGCUCUACUGGACUGCAACUGACACUCAGGGACGAAAGCUAGGGGAGCGAAUGGGAUUAGAUACCCCCGUAGUCC